UACGGGGGGGGUAAGCGUUGUUCGGAAUUACUGGGCGUAAAGCGUGCGCAGGCGGUUCGCUAAGACCGAUGUGAAAUCCCCGGGCUUAACCUGGGAACUGCAUUGGUGACUGGCGGGCUAGAGUGUGGCAGAGGGGGGUAGAAUUCCACGUGUAGCAGUGAAAUGCGUAGAGAUGUGGAGGAAUACCGAUGGCGAAGGCAGCCCCCUGGGCUAACACUGACGCUCAUGCACGAAAGCGUGGGGAGCAAACAGG
rnacentral:rRNA from 1 species